rnacentral:rRNA from 1 species
UACGUAGGGCGCAAGCGUUGUCCGGAAUUAUUGGGCGUAAAGAGCUCGUAGGUGGCGUGUCGCGUCUGCCGUGAAAGCCCAUGGCUUAACUGUGGGUCUGCGGUGGAUACGGGCAGGCUAGAGGCUGGUAGGGGCAAGCGGAAUUCCUGGUGUAGCGGUGAAAUGCGCAGAUAUCAGGAGGAACACCGGUGGCGAAGGCGGCUUGCUGGGCCAGUUCUGACGCUGAGGAGCGAAGGCGUGGGGAGCGAACAGG